rnacentral:rRNA from 1 species
CCUACGGGGUGCAGCAGUGGGGAAUAUUGCGCAAUGGGCGAAAGCCUGACGCAGCGACGCCGCGUGAGGGAUGAAGGUCUUCGGAUCGUAAACCUCUGUCAGCAGGGAAGAACGGUCACUGUGCUAAUCAGCAGUGAAUUGACGGUACCUGCAAAGGAAGCACCGGCUAACUCCGUGCCAGCAGCCGCGGUAAUACGGAGGGUGCGAGCGUUAAUCGGAAUUACUGGGCGUAAAGCGCUCGUAGGCGGUAUGUCAAGUCAAGGGGGAAAUCCCCGCGCUCAACGUGGGAACUGCCUUUGAAACUGGCAAACUGGAGUGUGUGAGAGGAUAGUGGAAUUCCAGGUGUAGGAGUGAAAUCCGUAGAGAUCUGGAGGAACAUCAGUGGCGAAGGCGACUAUCUGGCACAUAACUGACGCUGAGGAGCGAAAGCGUGGGUAGCAAACAGGAUUAGAUACCCCUGUAGUC